GAUGAACGCUGGCGGUAUGCUUAACACAUGCAAGUCGAACGGUGUAGAAAUACAUAGUGGCGGACGGGUGAGUAACGCGUGAGAAUCUAGCUUGAGGUCGGGGACAACCAUUGGAAACGAUGGCUAAUACCGGAUAUGCCUAUGGGUGAAAGAUUAAUUGCCUGAAGAAGAGCUCGCGUCCGAUUAGCUAGUUGGUGGUGUAAGGGACUACCAAGGCGACGAUCGGUAGCUGGGAUGAGAGUCUGAGCAGCCACACUGGAACUGAGACACGGUCCAG
rnacentral:rRNA from 1 species